GACGAACGCUGGCGGCGUGCUUAACACAUGCAAGUCGAACGGAAAGGCCCUGCUUUUGUGGGGUGCUCGAGUGGCGAACGGGUGAGUAACACGCGAGUAACCUGCCCUUGACUUUGGGAUAACUUUAGGAAACUGGGGCUAAUACCGGAUAGGAGCUCUUGCUGCAUGGUGGGGGUUGGAAAGUUUCGGCGGUUGGGGAUGGACUCGCGGCUUAUCAGCUUGUUGGUGGGGUAGUGGCUUACCAAGGCUUUGACGGGUAGCCGGCCUGAGAGGGUGACCGGCCACAUUGGGACUGAGAUACGGACCAGACUCCUACGGGAGGCAGCAGUGGGGAAUAUUGCACAAUGGGCGGAAGCCUGAUGCAGCAACGCCGCGUGCGGGAUGACGGCCUUCGGGUUGUAAACCGCUUUCGCCUGUGACGAAGCGUGAGUGACGGUAAUGGGUAAAGAAGCACCGGCUAACUACGUG
rnacentral:rRNA from 1 species